rnacentral:rRNA from 1 species
ACCAGACUCCUACGGGAGGCAGCAGUGGGGAAUAUUGCACAAUGGGGGAAACCCUGAUGCAGCGACGCCGCGUGAGCGAUGAAGUAUUUCGGUAUGUAAAGCUCUAUCAGCAGGGAAGAAGAUGACGGUACCUGACUAAGGAGCCCCGGCUAACUACGUGCCAGCAGCCGCGGUAAUACGUAGGGGGCAAGCGUUAUCCGGAUUUACUGGGUGUAAAGGGAGCGUAGACGGCGAUGCAAGCCAGAUGUGAAAGCCCGGGGCUCAACCCCGGGACUGCUCUUGGAACUGCGCGGCUGGAGUGCAGGAGGGGCAGGCGGAAUUCCUGGUGUAGCGGUGAAAUGCGUAGAUAUCAGGAGGAACACCGGCGGCGAAGGCGGCCUGCUGGACCGUAACUGACGUUGAGGCUCGAAAGCGUGGGGAGCAAACAGGAUUAGAUACCCCUGUACGU